GAUCCGCAGAUAUCUGAAUGGGGGAACCCACACCGUAAGGUGUAUCCGUAGCUGAAUACAUAGGUUACGGAGGCGAACGAGGAGAACUGAAACAUCUAAGUAUCCUCAGGAAAAGAAAUCAACCGAGAUUCCGGCAGUAGCGGCGAGCGAACCCGGAGGAGCCCAGCUUUUGAUAGUACGAACUUUAGCCGAAAGGUCCUGGAAAGGCCUGCUAUAGUGGGUGAUAGCCCCGUAGGCGAAAGAGUUGGUACGGUACUAAGGAAGCGAGAAGUAGAGCGGGACACGUGGAAUCCUGUUCGAAGACGGGGGGACCAUCCUCCAAGGCUAAAUACUCGUGAUCGACCGAUAGUGAACCAGUACCGUGAGGGAAAGGCGAAAAGAACCCCGGGAGGGGAGUGAAAUAGAACCUGAAACCGCAUGCAUACAAACAGUAGGAGCCUCGUCAGAGGUGACUGCGUACCUUUUGCAUAAUGGGUCAGCGACUUACAUUCUGUGGCGAGCUUAACCGAAUAGGGGAGGCGCAGCGAAAGCGAGUUCGAAAUGAGCGUUCAGUCGCAGGGUGUAGACCCGAAACCAGAUGAGCUAUCCAUGGCCAGGUUGAAGGUGUGGUAACACACACUGGAGGACCGAACCGACUAGUGUUGCAAAAUUAGCGGAUGAGCUGUGGAUAGGGGUGAAAGGCCAAACAAAUCUGGAGAUAGCUGGUUCUCCCCGAAAACUAUUGAGGUAGUGCCUCGUGUGUCGCUCCAGGGGGUAGAGCACUGUUUUGGCUAGGGGGACAUGGAGUCUUACCAAACCAAGGCAAACUCCGAAUACCUGGAAGCGUAAGCACGGGAGACAGAGCACCGGGUGCUAACGUCCGGACUCAAAAGGGAAACAACCCAGACCGCCGGCUAAGGUCCCAAAUAACAGCUAAGUGGAAAACGAAGUGGAAAGGCCGUGACAACCAGGAAGUUGGCUUAGAAGCAGCCAUCCUUCAAAGAAAGCGUAAUAGCUCACUGGUCGAGUCCUUCUGCGCGGAAGAUGUAACGGGGCUAAGCUGUUAACCGAAGCCGCGGAUGCGCUGGUUAUCCAGUGCGUGGUAGGGGAGCGUUCUGUAAGUCUGCGAAGGCGGUUCGAGAGGACUGCUGGAGAUAUCAGAAGUGCGAAUGCUGACAUGAGUAACGUUAAAGCAGGUGAAAAGCCUGCUCGCCGUAAGCCCAAGGAUUCCUGCUCUACGUUCAUCGGAGCAGGGUGAGUCGGCUCCUAAGGUCAGGCCGAAAGGCGUAGCCGAUGGGAAUCAGGUUAAUAUUCCUGAACCUGCGUCAGAUGCGAUGGGGGGACGGAGCAUGGAAGAUCAUCCGGGUGUUGGAAGUCCCGGUUGUUUAGCGUAGGAGGUCUGCAGGCAAAUCCGCAGACGCAUCUCCAAGGCAAAGACACGUGCCGCCACGGCGGCGAAGUGAUCGGAAGUGCUUCCAAGAAAAGCCUCUAAGCCCCAGUCUGACGCGGACCGUACCGCAAACCGACACUGGUGGGCGAGCUGAAUAUGCUCAGGCGCUUGAGAGAACUCGGGAGAAGGAACUCGGCAAAUUGACACCGUAACUUCGGAAGAAGGUGUGCCGUAGUACCGUGAGAGGAGAGACACCUUGAGCGGGAAACGGUCUCAGAGAAUAGGUGGCUGCGACUGUUUAUUAAAAACACAGCACUCUGCAAAGUCGAAAGACGACGUAUAGGGUGUGAUGCCUGCCCGGUGCUGGAAGAUUAAUUGAUGGGGUGAGAGCCCUUGAUCGAAGUCCCAGUAAACGGCGGCCGUAACUAUAACGGUCCUAAGGUAGCGAAAUUCCUUGUCGGGUAAGUUCCGACCUGCACGAAUGGCAUAACGAUGGCCACACUGUCUCCUCCCGAGACUCAGUGAAGUUGAAAUGUUUGUGAUGAUGCAAUCUACCCGCGGCUAGACGGAAAGACCCCAUGAACCUUUACUGCAGCUUUGCAUUGAACUGUGAACCGAUUUGUGUAGGAUAGGUGGGAGGCAGAGAAGAGGCCACGCCAGUGGCCUUGGAGCCGACCUUGAAAUACCACCCUGAUUUGUUUGCGGUUCUAACCACGGACAGUGAUCCUGUCUUGGGACCGUGCAUGGUAGGCAGUUUGACUGGGGCGGUCUCCUCCUAAAGGGUAACGGAGGAGUACGAAGGUACGCUAGGUACGGUCGGAAAUCGUGCUGAUAGUGCAAUGGCAAAAGCGUGCUUGACUGCGAGAGCAACAACUCGAGCAGAUGCGAAAGCAGGUCAUAGUGAUCCGGUGGCUCUGAAUGGAAGGGCCAUCGCUCAACGGAUAAAAGGUACUCUGGGGAUAACAGGCUGAUACCGCCCAAGAGUUCAUAUCGACGGCGGUGUUUGGCACCUCGAUGUCGGCUCAUCUCAUCCUGGGGCUGUAGUCGGUCCCAAGGGUAUGGCUGUUCGCCAUUUAAAGAGGUACGUGAGCUGGGUUUAAAACGUCGUGAGACAGUUUGGUCCCUAUCUGCCGUGGGCGUUGGAAGAUUGACGGGGGCUGCUCCUAGUACGAGAGGACCGGAGUGGACGCACCUCUGGUGUACCGGUUGUCACGCCAGUGGCAUUGCCGGGUAGCUAAGUGCGGAAGAGAUAACCGCUGAAAGCAUCUAAGCGGGAAACUUGCCUGAAGAUGAGUCUUCCCGGAGGUUGAACCUCCCUCAAGAGUCGUCCGAGACCAGGACGUCGAUAGGUCAGGUGUGUAAGCGCUGUAAGGCGUUGAGCUAACUGAUACUAAUUGCUCGUGAGGCUUGAUC
rnacentral:rRNA from 1 species